rnacentral:rRNA from 1 species
GAUCCUGGCUCAGGACGAACGCUGGCGGCGUGCCUAACACAUGCAAGUCGAACGGAGAAUUUUAUUUCGGUAGAAUUCUUAGUGGCGAACGGGUGAGUAACGCGUAGGCAACCUGCCCUUUAGACGGGGACAACAUUCCGAAAGGAGUGCUAAUACCGGAUGUGAUCAUCUUGCCGCAUGGCAGGAUGAAGAAAGAUGGCCUCUACAAGUAAGCUAUCGCUAAAGCAGUCGGC